CAACAAAACCAGCUCAGCUCCUGGUAAAAAUUUGUUCCAUCAAAUUGAGUUUUUCUUCAAACCCUACCGCUGUUUGUUUUUAUAGCUGAGUUUUUGAGUUUUUUGUUUCCUCUCCCGUUUUAAGUUAUAGUUUAGAUGGCGGGAAGAAACCGAGUUCCUCAUGAAGUUUUUGGCCACCGGCGCGGCUAUCCAGCAGAGGAGCAUAUCCCUCGAGGCCCUUUAAUCCGGCCUAUACCUCCUCAUCCUGCUCUAUUAGAGGAAGAACUUGAAAUUCGACAUCUUGAGCUUCGGAGGCUACUAGAUGAAAAUCGAAGACUGGUUGAGGACAGAAUUGCUUUGGAGCGAGAUUUAAAUUCUGCGAGGGAAGAGUUCCGUCGCAUGAAUCUAGGCAUUAAUGAUAUGCGCGCUGAACAAGACCUCCAAUCUAGGGAGCUUAUCGAAAGGGUUCUGAAGUUGGAUGCUGACCUUCGGGCUACUGAGCCUUUAAAAAUUGAGGCUGCAAAACUUCGUGAUGAGAUUCAUAGACUGAAUGCCAUUAGGCAGGAUCUAACGGGGCAAAUUCAGGGUCUCUCUCAAGAACUUGCUAAGUUUCGGGCUGAAAACCAGAAAAUUCCUGGUUUAAAGAAUGAGAUUGACGGACUGCAUCAGGAACUUGUGCGAGCUAGAACUGCUGUCGAUUUUGAAAAGAAUGCACAUAUUGAGCUGGUGGAACAGAGGCAGGCAAUGGAGAAGAACAUGGUCGGCAUGGCUCGUGAAGUUGAGAAGCUGCGUGCUGAGCUUGCAAAUGCUAGAGCAUGGAAUGCAGGUGGGGCCUAUGGAAUGAAGUACAAAAACCCUGAUGCCAAUUUUCCUGCCCCUUAUGACGACGCAUAUGGGAUUCGCCAGGGUCCUUCAUAUGGUUCCAGUUCUGCUUCCUGGGGAGGCCAUGAAAAACCAAGGAUGAAUCGCCGUUGAUGAUAUGUGGAGGAUUAAUGUGUAAGAGCGUCCCUUGCAAGCAUUGUUACUGCCCUAUAGAGUACAGGGCAAAAAACUGUGACUUUAAUGGUUCAGCAAGGAUGGAAAAACUGAUGGUGAUGAGCGGCUGAAUGAUGAAAGCUGAGUACUACGUCCUCCACCUUUUGGUUUGUGCCAGUGCUCUAUCUGGGUUGAAAGCUGCUACAUUGGCGAUUGAAAACUGAUGAUGAAGCUCAUAAUAUCUCUUAGACAGUUGUAUGAGAAUGAGUAAGCCGUGAUGGAACCAGAUGAGGAGUCAUUGCUGCUUCUACAAAAAACUCUCCAGCAUGUGUGGUAAGGGUAUCAGGUAAAGGUAGUUCUCUCCUCGUUCCAAAAUUUAUGUCUGCAAAUGCUCUACUCCAUGAUUUAGAAAUCAGUUUUGAGUUUGGUACCCAGGUAAAAAAAUCCCCCACGUCAUUAAAAAAAAAUAAGCUUUACGUGCAACUAUUUUGUUUUCUCGUUUAUUAUCACUUGAGGGGCUGGAUCAUGCAUAGUUUGAGUUUGCUGGGGAAAUGCUUUGGGAGAUAGGUUUAAUGCAAGUAAACAGCGUAAUAAUCAUAAUAGUGUACAUCAGUUAUGGUCCUCGCGAUUAUAGUAGUGAAUUAAAUUAUAGCCUUUUUUCUAGGAAGUGCACUCGGAUCGAAUUAUAUUUCUUCAGUCGUCAAAGUUUUUUCUUCUGUUCUGUCUUUUGUUGUGAUUUCUUUUACUGGUCAAGGUUUUAUGCUUGUAUUAACGUGCCGCUUCUAGCCGUCUAAUCUAUUCAAUACUCGUACUAGCCUUAAGCUCUGUCCAAAUCAACAUUUUGCUAUUCCUCUCAAAUAUUUGGAGGCUUAACUCUUCAUGGAUCAGUAUCUUGCUUGAACAGUUACAGUUUUCUUGGAUUGUCUCAAUAUCUAGAUUCUAAAUGAUGAUAUCUUGUUAUUUUCUUCUUUUUUUUUUCAUUGUCUCUGAGACAUGAUUGAUCAUUUGAUACUUUCUGACUGCGAUCACAGAACUAGAUAAGCGACGCUCUUGCCCUUCUGGGUAGAAGCUUUUCGGUCAAUACACAGCCACUAGAUUAGCUUAUGUAAGAAUAAAAUUAUCUGUAUGUGUAACGUGGGGAUGGUUUCUCUGUUUUGAUAUGAUUCAUAUUGUUCUCAA